UGAGGAAUUUUGCGCAAUGGGGGCAACCCUGACGCAGCAACGCCGCGUGAGCGAAGAAGGCCUUCGGGUUGUAAAGCUCUGUCUAGUGGGAAAAAACUCCUGGUGUGAAUAGCGCCAGGGUCUGAUGGUACCGCUGGAGGAAGCACCGGCUAACUCCGUGCCAGCAGCCGCGGUAAUACGGAGGGUGCAAGCGUUGUUCGGAAUUAUUGGGCGUAAAGGGCGUGUAGGCGGUUUGGCAAGUCAGAUGUGAAAGCCCUGGGCUCAACCCAGGAAGUGCAUUUGAAACUGGCAGUCUUGAGUACUGGAGAGGAUGGCGGAAUUCCUGGUGUAGCGGUGAAAUGCGUAGAUAUCAGGAAGAACACCGGUGGCGAAGGCGGCCAUCUGGACGGAUACUGACGCUCAGGUGCGAAGGCUAGGGGAGCAAACAGGAUUAGAUACCCUGGUAGUCCUAGCGGUAAACGAUGGGCACUAGGUGUUGGUGGUAUCGACUCCACCAGUGCCGCAGCUAACGCAUUAAGUGCCCCGCCUGGGGAGUACGACCGCAAGGUUG
rnacentral:rRNA from 1 species